CGCCAUGUUGAGGCGCGGCAGCUCCCCGCCCUUAUCACCUGAGGGAAAAGAGUAGUGCGAAGUGAAGGGCUGCUGCCGUUUUGAGGUUCUCCUGACUCUUCAGUUGAUCUAUAGCAAAGUGCAUUCAGAAAAGAGUUGAGCAUCACUGCUGACAGCUCAGCAAAAGCUCCAGAGAGUUUUUACAAGGAUGACACGGAUGUAGUGGAGAGAGUCCAGUAAAGGACCAUGAAGAUGAUGAAGGAUCUGAAACAUCUCUCUUAUGAGGAAGAAAUCACGCUGCACAGCGCUUCCAAGUAUGAACAAAUCUAAAUGAAGACAGCUGGCAGAGGCUCUCGUCAUCUAACUCCUUCCAGAUGUGUACUUGUAUGCCGCAGUUCCUGACUGGUGACACCUCUGAUGGAAUCCUUGGGGACAUGGCGGUGAUGGGCUUGCUUGAUUGGUGUUCUGCCAUUGGGUCAGCUGCUGUUAAUCCUAUAUUUAUAUUUACCCGAUACAUCUCUCACUCCAUUUUCUGGAAUUCCCCUGCUCUGAUGGCUGCAUUGCAGAACACUUAGCUUUCAUUUAUGUGCAGACGAAACCAAACUCAUUUGAAUUUUGCUGCUUCUUAAGCUCAAAGUUCCCCCUGCCCCUUUUUUUUCCCAACAUUUUUAACAGGGAUCAAAGGAUGUUUUUACUCUUGCAUGAAGCUGUUUCUUUAAAGCCUGUGUUACAAGUGAUCUGGUGAGGUUGUGCACUGAUGCUGAGCCCUCUGAGAGCUCCUGUGGCUAGCACGGAUUAAAGGAACUAGGUCAAAUUUCUAAACUAUAGCAUACAUCUUUCUGCUGUUCCAGCUGGACUAUCUAUAAAAGCUGGAAAAGAAAAUCAGAGUCCUGGAAAGAGGUUUUGCUGGAUGUGCACUUCCCAGAACUCCCCCGAAAGGCAAUCCAACUGUGCAGGCUGCAGCGGAGGAUCUUCAAAAGGUUUUUCCUAAAUCAACCCAGCCGGCUGAAAUCCACUGGGAAAACUUUUGAGAAUAUUGCUUGCAAGAUGGAUGGAUAAUGCAAAAAGCACGAAAACAAUAUGGAAGAAAAGACAUUUUUCUACAUGGUGCCAUUCCCAGCAUUAUCUUAUGUGAACUAAAGCAUAAAUAAAUGUGUUUCUCCUUCAGCCUUAAGUGCAGGUAGGAGGACAUCACUGCAAAAUAGUGUUCCCUGGCAUGGGACAGAAAACUGUUCCAUGCAUACAGCAGCACUGCAGAAUGGCUUGGGGUAAGCAAGGAAAAGAGGUUCCCCAUCCAUCAAAGCUCCUUCAGGGGAAGAAAUAGGCAGAGCAUGGCAUGCUACCAUCCCUGGUGGGAAAUAUGAGUGCCAUUUCCAUCCACUGGGCAGAGGGACUGCGCUAUUGAACUUUUUUCAUCUGUAGCUUCUAUGAAACAGUGCUGGCCAGCCUGGAACUUGGCCAAAACAACAUCCUGGUUCCUCAGCAAGUGCUGUGGGAUCAGACCACAUGUGACGAGGAUCCCAGCUCCGUGUUGCAUUGGGAAGCGAUGGCCGUCGUGACCCCUGCUGUGCCCUGGGAAAGUUGUUUGGCUGUGGCUCACAGGAAGGAGAAGGUUUGCUUUCUCCAGAUCCAGGAUUUCCUCUUAGGCCUUCCUUAUGUGCUGCAUCACAUCUUACCCCACUCUCACAUGCAGGGGCCAACAAUCACCCAGGCUACUGGCACUCCUGUGCUGGCCCUGGGGCUGCACUCUGGCUGCCUAGUCUGGAGGGGAGCCCCUACUUCUGACCCAGAGGUGCCCAUAGGACCGGGCAGCCUGGGCAUGGGACAAGCAGGCUUCCCAGCGUGGGAAAUUUCUAAAGAAGCAGUCUGUAAACCACAUUUUCAUCUAACUGGUCUAAAUAUAUUUCAGUUUCAAAACACACACUUAAAAAUAACUUACAGAAAUAUUUAUACGGACACUGAAAGGAACUUUCCAGCUUUAGGGAUUCAGCAAAGCCCGCAACUGCCUUCCUGUGCAGUCACUCCUAGCCUGUUGUUGAGCCUCUUGUUUUGAAAGCGUUGGAGUCUCUUUCUCCUCCAGUUAUCUUGCCUGACUCCACCCUGACACAUGAACUCACAGGGCUUUGCAUUCAGCGACGUCAGGACUGAUAUCGCACAGCAGCUUUUCCCACAGCUGCAAUCAUAACUCCUUCAACAGCACAAUUUUUCUUGCAAGCUAAAAGGAAAAAGUUUGGCUUGUGCAGGAGAAUUCAGCCCCAGGGAUGGGGCAUUACACAUCUUUAGGAGCUCCCUUUCUCAUUUCUUCACUCCAUGCUGGUUCAUUCAUCUGGCUGUCUCAGCUCCUGUGGGGCUUGGGGCAGAUCUCGGUCCUUGGCAAAUGCAUGUCAGCAUUGUAGUGUGGGGCAAAAAAUCAGAGCUUGAACUUUUUGGGUGGUGUGGCAAUAAAAAACG